UACGUAGGGCGCAAGCGUUGUCCGGAAUUAUUGGGCGUAAAGAGCUCGUAGGCGGCUUGUCACGUCGGAUGUGAAAGCCCGGGGCUUAACUCCGGGUCUGCAUUCGAUACGGGCUAGCUAGAGUGUGGUAGGGGAGAUCGGAAUUCCUGGUGUAGCGGUGAAAUGCGCAGAUAUCAGGAGGAACACCGGUGGCGAAGGCGGGUCUCUGGGCAGUAACUGACGCUGAGGAGCGAAAGCCAGGGGAGCAAACGGG
rnacentral:rRNA from 1 species